rnacentral:sRNA from 1 species
GUCUAAUUAAGCAAGAACUAACUAAGUAAUACUUAUUGCCUGAUCGUGACGGCUUCGAUGAGUCGUUGGAGCGAGAAAGAUCUGCA